AAGUACUUCACGAAACGCUUACAGGGUCUCUUUUAUCUCUGCAAAGUCCAACUUGUUAACUCAGUUAGCUUGCUGGCGAAGUUCACUGGAAGGGACUGCAGACAUGAAAAAAAAUGCAACUCCUGGAACUGCAGACCAGAAUGGAUGGGAAAAUACAGACUGUAGCUAACAACUGCAACUGCAGACCAGAAUGGAUGGGAAAAGUACAUCUUGUUGCUAACUGUAACUUCAGACCAGACAUGGAUGGGAAAAGUACAGACUGUAGCUAACAACUGUAACUUCAGACCAGACAUGGAUGGGAAAAAUACAGACUGUAGCUAACAACUAAGUAUCUUCUAGGUUUGUGUAAGCCUGACAACCCCAUCGGAUCUGACUUAUUUUUUUGUCAUUAUUAUUAUACAUUUUUUACCCCCUUUUCGCCCCAAUUUCGUGAUAUCCAAUUACACUGCAAUUCCCUCGGGACAUGCGAAGGUCGAGUCAUGCGUCCUUCCCAAACCGCACUUCUUAACAUCCGCCUGCUUAACCCGUAUGCUAGCCGCACCAAUGUGUCGGAGGAAAUACCGUUCAACUGAUGACGUAGUCAGCCUGCAGGCACCAGGCCCACCACAAGGAGUUGCUAGAGCACGAUGAGCCAAGUAAAGCUCCCCCGGCCAAACCCUCCCCUAACCCGGACGAUAUUGGGCCCUUUGUGCACAGCCUUUUGGGACUCCCGGUCAUGGCCAGUUGUGACACAGUCUGGGAUCGAACCCCUGUCUGUAGUGACUCCUUAGGCUGCUGCGCCACUCAGGAGUCCCCAAUUUGCAGAUUUCUGAUGUCACAUGUUAACAUGCAAAAGGGUUUAUUGUUAAAUUAUUUUCCUGGUUGUCUUUCAGGGCACUGCUAGUCGUGACUAUAUCCUUCCAAAUUGUCUCGUUGACUAGCAACGCCUGAGCUUCAGAGGUUGGGGGACAGCAGACCAGAAAAGGACACAGUGUUACACUUGUAAGAAUGCAUUUUGUGAAGUUGUUGCAAGAUUGUAUUUAGGAUGACACUAUCCCGAACAUGAUUGACAACACUGUCAGACCUGACUUCUGAAAUGCAAUUUGCAACCAAAUGUGUUAACAGGAUUUUGGGGAGAAUAGCUUUAUAAAGGUUGUAACAAGGUGUUUUCUUUCAUUUUUUAAAUUCCUAGUGACUGUCUUCGCAAGGGUCAUUGUGAUCUUUAUCAUACAAUGGAGCUGGCCAUCACUAGCAAUGUGGAGAACGCAUUAUUGCCUUUUCAUUUACAAAGCUCUAAAUUAGAACUGUGCUAUCCUAGGACAAAGUUUGUU
rnacentral:lncRNA from 1 species